rnacentral:lncRNA from 1 species
UGUUAAAACUGUGAUUUUAACUACUUCAUAACUAUUUCAUAAAGCCAUCCACAGUGGAUUUCAAAGUUUUGUGUAAACCGAACAACAGAAAAGGAGUCCAAAACAAGAGCCUAGAAAGGCAUUUUAUGGGGAUUGUUCUUCUUAGACCAGAAAAAUGUUUAGUUCAUAAAAAGUAAUUCAGUCAGAAUUCCAGCAUCAUUUCAAUUUCUGGUUUAAGCAGAUCUCUGCUGAAAAGCAGUCAGUGAUUUAUUUCUACAGAAAUUCUCAAAUGUCUUUGUAUAAUUUUAAGGCCUAUUGGUUGGUACAGAGCAGUGAUGGAAGACAGUGUACAGUUAGAAAACAACUUGUGCAGGAAACAGCUGGCACCACAAUGAAGAUUGCCAAAGAACAAGUUGCUGUCACAGAAUGCCCCUACCAUGUCCCACAGGCCAAGCAGGAAAACAAAAAACAGAUCUGUGAGUUUUACCUCCAGGACUGUUUUGAUCUCCUUACUUCAGUCUCUGGUCAUUAUUGGUGCAGUCAAGUACGUGGCUGGCCUAGUUAUGGGACACAUCCAGGAACACGUGCAUGCAGGAGUGCAGCAAACUGCUGCACCCACGUUGCUGCACCAGCGAUGGUGCAUCACCGGUGAUGCAGCAGUGACCCUGUCUGACACCAUGCAGCCGACCCAACAAGGAGCUGUCAGAAACUGGCGAACACUCAUUAAGCAGCAUCUGAGAAAUGUGCUUUCAUGCACACCCAUUUGCCUGAAUUUCUCUCUGUCCUCGGGUAGCUCUUUGUAA